rnacentral:rRNA from 1 species
UACGAAGGGGGCUAGCGUUGUUCGGAUUUACUGGGCGUAAAGCGCACGUAGGCGGAUCGUUAAAGUCGGGGGGUGAAAUCCUGGAGCUCAACUCCAGAACUGCCUUUUGAUACUGAGGAUCUUGAGUUCGGGGAGAGGUGAGUGGAACUGCGAGUGUAGAGGUGAAAAUUCGUAGAUAUUCGCAAGAACACCAGUGGCGAAGGCGGCUCACUGGGCCCAUUCUGACGCUGAGGCACGAA